GAUAAACGCUGGCGGCGCACAUAAGACAUGCAAGUCGAACGGACUUAACUCAUUCUUUACGAUUGAGAGCGGUUAGUGGCGGACUGGUGAGUAACACGUAAGCAACCUGCCUAUCAGAGGGGAAUAACAGUGAGAAAUCAUUGCUAAUACCGCAUAUGCUAACAGUAUCGCAUGAUACAGUUAGGAAAGGAGCAAUCCGCUGAUAGAUGGGCUUGCGUCUGAUUAGAUAGUUGGUGAGGUAACGGCUCACCAAGUCGACGAUCAGUAGCCGGACUGAGAGGUUGAACGGCCACAUUGGGACUGAGACACGGCCCAGACUCCUACGGGAGGCAGCAGUGGGGAAUAUUGCGCAAUGGAGGAAACUCUGAUGCAGCGAUGCCGCGUGAGGGAAGAAGGUUUUCGGAUUGUAAACCUCUGUCUUCAGGGACGAUAAUGACGGUACCUGAGGAGGAAGCUCCGGCUAACUACGU
rnacentral:rRNA from 1 species